GACGAACGCUGGCGGCGUGCUUAACACAUGCAAGUCGAACGAUGAAGCCGGAGCUUGCUCUGGUGAAUUAGUGGCGAACGGGUGAGUAACACGUGAGUAACCUGCCCUUGACUCUGGGAUAACUGCGGGAAACUGUAGCUAAUACCGGAUACGACCCUCGGAGGCAUCUCCUGGGGGUGGAAAGAAUUUCGGUCAAGGAUGGACUCGCGGCCUAUCAGCUAGUUAGUGAGGUAAAGGCUCACCAAGGCGACGACGGGUAGCCGGCCUGAGAGGGUGACCGGCCACACUGGGACUGAGACACGGCCCAGACUCCUACGGGAGGCAGCAGUGGGGAAUAUUGCACAAUGGGCGCAAGCCUGAUGCAGCAACGCCGCGUGAGGGAUGACGGCCUUUGGGUUGUAAACCUCUUUUAGUAGGGAAGAAGCGAAAGUGACGGUACCUGCAGAAAAAGCACCGGCUAACUACGUGCCAGCCGCCGCUGUAA
rnacentral:rRNA from 1 species